rnacentral:rRNA from 1 species
GACGAACGCUGGCGGCGUGCUUAACACAUGCAAGUCGAACGGAAAGGCCCUGCUUUUGUGGGGUGCUCGAGUGGCGAACGGGUGAGUAACACGUGAGUAACCUGCCCUUGACUUUGGGAUAACUUCAGGAAACUGGGGCUAAUACCGGAUAGGAGCUCCUGCUGCAUGGUGGGGGUUGGAAAGUUUCGGCGGUUGGGGAUGGACUCGCGGCUUAUCAGCUUGUUGGUGGGGUAGUGGCUUACCAAGGCUUUGACGGGUAGCCGGCCUGAGAGGGUGACCGGCCACAUUGGGACUAAGAUACGGCCCAGACUCCUACGGGAGGCAGCAGUGGGGAAUAUUGCACAAUGGGCGGAAGCCUGAUGCAGCAACGCCGCGUGCGGGAUGACGGCCUUCGGGUUGUAAACCGCUUUCGCCUGUGACGAAGCGUGAGUGACGGUAAUGGGUAAAGAAGCACCGGCUAACUACGCG